UACGAAGGGGGCUAGCGUUGCUCGGAAUCACUGGGCGUAAAGGGUGCGUAGGCGGGGCUUUAAGUCAGGGGUGAAAUCCUGGAGCUCAACUCCAGAACUGCCUUUGAUACUGAAGAUCUUGAGUUCGGGAGAGGUGAGUGGAGCUGCGAGUGUAGAGGUGAAAUUCGUAGAUAUUCGCAAGAACACCAGUGGCGAAGGCGGCUCACUGGCCCGAUACUGACGCUGAGGCACGAAAGCGUGGGGAGCAAACAGG
rnacentral:rRNA from 1 species